rnacentral:lncRNA from 1 species
CAAUAUAAAGACUCACUCCAUUCUAAAUCGUAGGUCAUUUUGACUUUUCUAAAUGCAUAGUUUUUACUAUGCAUCUAAACAUACACUAUAUCUAAGUGCAUAAAGUCAAAAAGACAUAGAAUUUGAAACGGAGGGAGUACAAGACUUCAUCCGGGACAUGCUUUUAUUUACUUGACCUGUAUGAAUGGUCCAUGCGAACACAUCCAUGUCCAAUUAUUUGGAGGCUUGGCGUUUAUAUUCUUUAGCCAAUUCUGGGAACCUCGGCCACGAUGUCAACCCAGAGACGAACGCGAUUUGGGUCAAAAUCUUGGGGGACGAAGGUGCCAACCGGGACAGCCUCAACAUUCAGCUCCGGCCGCUCCGCCUUGAUCUUCUCGGUCGCCGCUUUGAUCGUGCAUCCCUUUAGCUCAGGCCACUCUGUCUUGGGAGUAGCAUCGGCGCACCCCUUGCUAUCAUCUGAUGAGCUCAUCUUCUUCAGAGAUACCUGCAGAUUUUCUGCACAUUUGUUAAACAUGGGAAAGUCAGGCUGUAGAAAGUAGAAAUGAAGCAAACCAAAACUGCAGGCUUCAAUUCAGUUACUUCUUCUUCUUUUCGAAAUGCGCAUGACAAAUGAGAAG